AACCCAAACUGGUUUAUGUUAGGAGAAAACAGUUUGAUGUCAGUUCGUGUCAUUUGGAAAGAAGCCUAUUUAAACUGGGCAUUAUGACAACUCAUAGUGCUUCGUCUGUUUGUUUCACAGCAUAAAAGACAUUGGCCCUAGUGGUAAAGAGACCUAGUGGAAGACACCAUUGCUGAUCUCCUGGGCAAAGUAGGGCAGAGCUUGCUGAGUUGUGGGAGGAAGCACUGCCCUGAGAGCCAGCGGUGUUCCAGACUCCUCCAUCCUCCUCCUCUUCCCAGCUGGGAUGGCGAGUUCCUGUGACUGGCCCGUCACUCUCCCCCCAGCCAUCUUGCAUAGAUUUGGAAUCUUUAAGGAAAGAAUGAAUUAACUCUUUGCAACAGCUAUAUAAAACAAUCAUCAGAAUAAUAAUUCCUUGCAGAUGCAGCAUUUAAGUGUCUUUGUAAUUUUAUCUACUCCAUCUCCACGGCAAGGCAAAUAUUAUUACUCAUUUUUUAGAGAGCAGGAAACUAAAAUCCAUAAAGCUUCAAUGAUACACAGAAAGUUAACAAACCAUAGAAUGAAGACCUCCUGAUUUAUGGAUCAAUGCUUUUUCCCUUACACAAAGUUGGACAGGAAUUUCAAAACUGAAAAGAACUUAUCACAACAUUCCCGGCAAGAAAUUUCACACCUCAAUUAAGAUAAAUCUGUUCCUCUUAAUGAACAUGGUUUACUGUAGCCCUGGUUUUAUCCUCCAUUCAGUAUGUACUUUAUAUAUACAACGGAUACUAUAAAUAUGAGGUAUGAUAAAGGACAACUGUCUAGCUUGCUUGGGGUGAAGCAGAGAUGAACAGAACACGAAAAGGGGGAAAAAUUUUUAUAAGAUUUUGAAUAUCAGAAUUAUGGUGAAAGAAGAAAAAUUCACAUAUAGCCAUGGAAAUCUAAAAUGUAUUAGAACUACAUACUUGAAAUGUAUUAGAUACUAAAGAGGCAAAGAAUAUAUACGUAGUGGUUUUGAAAAGACAGAAGGAAAAAAUGUGGAGGAUAAGGAGAGGAAAGGAGAAAGGAAAGCAGAGAGAAAUCCAAGAGGCUUUAAUGUUUGAGGAAGUGGGACAUCAGUAUCCCAUUCUAAACAAAGAUCUUUAAUUUGAAGACUGGAAUAAGUCCUUAAUUACCUCCGAAAAUACUGUACAGAAUCAAAACAUACUUUGCAGUAAUAAUACUGUGUAAAAUGAUGAAAGAAAAGGAAACACAUUCCCUUGCCUGGAAACUUCCAUCUGCACCUCUACUUUCCCACAUGACAGGACAUUUAUGAAAGUCUUCUGAUUUGUACAUAGCUUUAUAUGAAGAGUUUAAGGGCAGAAAAUUGGCUCUUCCAGGCCUUUCCUUGAAGGACAGCUGUCACCCUGUAGGAUCAAGCCUAUGAUAGACCAAUAGGUUCGGGCCAAGUACAUAAGGCACAGGGCAAUUAAUUUCUUCUAACUGUGGCAUCUCAUCCCCCAGCAAGGCCCAGGUGAAUCUGACAGUCUCCCAGUGGGGUUCAUUGUAGCCACAGGAAGGGGCUGUCUGUGCACAAGGGGGAGGGUUGGGAUGCUCCUCUUCCUGCUGCUGGAAGUGCUGCCGAUAACCAGGACUGCUGCCUCUGUAUAUAGGAUUAUAAAUUUAUAUAAUACCAUAUUUAUGAUUUAUAUUAUACAAGCAUAGGCUUUCUACCAUCCACUGACAAGCAACACGAGUUAAAAACCCAAUAUAAAUAACACACUGACCCCUUUAGAAAAAUGAAGACAUGCAAGUGAACCUUUCUUUUAGAGACAAGCUAAACUUCUAAUAAAUGUUUCUUACAGAAAAGAUAAGAGAGGUCUAAUUUUUAAUCAUAGGAUUCAUAUCAUCAAAUUUAAGACAGGCUAGAGAAGAUCACAGGGUAACUGUCUCCAUCAACUGGUAGACUAUGAUGGUUUAGCUCUUUCUUCCGCACAUUACACAUUUAACUUACUCACAGAAAGGAUGUGUGCUGUAACUACAGAUGAUCUGAAGAGUAGAAGACAUUUUUAGAAUCUGAGGAAAAGUGGUUUUGUGAUAGAACAGAGGUGAUCCUGAGGUUGGGAAAGACACAUGAAAAUCCUGAAUAUACUGCUAAAGGAUCUCUUUGUGCCCAGGGUCUGAUUAACAUCUUCCUACAGCAUUUUGGAUCUAUUUCAAGUCUACUAGAUUACAUUUCCCAUGAUGAUAUGACUGAUUUCACAAUAGAAAUAAUGAUAAAAACAAAAUUUUCAUAAAGCUAGCUAUUUUAAUGAGGUCGAGGAGAUUCAUGAUUUUUAAAAUGUAGUCAAAUUACUACAUAUACACACAUGUGAAUUUCCAGAAUAGAGCUAAUAUCAUAUUCCCUUAUGUGGCACUGUAAGAGUACUGAAUAUAAUGUGAUAAACUUAACAGAAUUUAUCUUCUUGUUCGAAUUUUGUUCAUUCCAGAAAUGUUCAUUAUUUAGUCAAAAGAUAAUCCCUUAAAUCUGCUGCUAUAUGGUAGAAAAGAGAUGUUGGAACAUUUUUAAGAAAGUUACAAAAAUAAGUGGAAACAGGAACUUGAAUUUAGGAACAGUCAAUGAGACAUUCCAUAGCCUCAGUUCACAGAAUUCUGCUCAUUACUGUGACCACACAUCACCAGCUGGAUCAAGUGCAGCUUAGAUUUUAGAUUUUCAAUGAUUCUGAAUAAGUGUGACGUUCUUCAUUUAAAAAACUGAAGUGAAAUUUAUGACAGAUUAAAAAAAUCUGAAAUGCUCUUAUGUGGAAGAAGAGAGACAAAGGCAAAGGAAGGUGCAGAAGGAUGAAGUCACUGGGCAGCACAGAUCGUGUUCCACAUUAAAAGCCAGGAACUCUUGUUUUAAAUUAUACUAACAAACGAGUAGAAAUGCAAGCUAGAUAUGGUGAGCACAUAGUCAC